rnacentral:rRNA from 1 species
UUGAACGCUGGCGGCAUGCCUUACACAUGCAAGUCGAACGGCAGCGACGGGGGCAACCCUGGNGGCGAGUGGCGAACGGGUGAGUAACAUAUCGGAACGUGCCCUGGAGUGGGGGAUAACUAGUCGAAAGACUAGCUAAUACCGCAUACGAUCUACGGAUGAAAAGUGGGGAUACGCAAGACCUCAUGCUCGUGGAGCGGCCGAUAUCUGAUUAGCUAGUUGGGGGGUAAAGGCCUACCAAGGCAUCGAUCAGUAGCUGGUCUGAGAGGACGACCAGCCACACUGGGACUGAGACACUGCCCGGACUCCGUACGGGAGGCAGCAGUGGGAAUAUUGGACAAUGGGCGAAAGCCUGAUCCAGCCAUGCCGCGUGAGUGAU